UCGAGCCGCACAACCGAGCCGAGCCCAGCCGAGCAGCCGAGUCCAGCCGAGCAGCCGAACACCCGAGCCCAGCCGAGCAACCGAGCGCAGCCGAGCAGCCGAGCCGAGGCGAGCCCGUGGAGCACUGCGGGCUGCAGCAACGGCUGCAAAUGGUGCCUGCACCAGCCAAUGAGAGGCAGUGCCCAGUCCGCCCCGCCCACAGUAGCUGCUCCUCCCACCUCGCCCACACUCACCAAGGCUGGGGCGCGGCCCGGUGAAGUAAGGGCUAAGAGUCCUGCGCCCAGGACUGCGCGGGCUUCUGCCGUGGGGAGGCGGUGCGGGUGGCUGCCUUGGCCCGCUACCACCACAUUUCCCCUCCACUGUGUUCGUGGCAUCAAGAGUACAGCCCCUUACGGCCAGGCUUCGGCCAGCUGGUCCAGCGGGCCUGGUGCAGAGACGCCCCAGAAGGGAAACACCAGGACAGGUGCAGCUCCAGAUGCCACAGCUCCCAGGGGCCUCUCAGUCAGUCCUGUUGUGGGACCAGAGUUAGGAAGGGCCCUGUCCCUGGAAGAGUCCAGGCCAAGAGGCCCCACUGGCCAGUUAACCCCUGCACUUUCAGAACACCAGUGUGCUAGGUGACCGUCGUGACCCCAGCACCAAAGCCAACCAGGCCAAGACAAGAAAAGAAAAUGAAAGCCCACUUCAUCUAUGAGCCGAGAAACGAAUACCUUCAACAUUAGCGAACCGAUUCCAGCAACAUAAAUCGUGAUAAAUAGUGACGGAGGGCACUCCCUUGCUCCCUCAAGCUGGUCAAGGAAACUGCAGAGCCCAGCAUGAAGAUCGCAGCAGCAAGAGUGCUGUGCUGCCAGCCAGGAGAGAGUGAGGAGGUCCACUGCCCUCCGUGUGGCAGUGUUAGAGGGCACAGCCGUGUAAUUAGAAAGAAAAACAAAAAUCACACCAGUGGAGGGGAAGAUUUCAAUAUGCUUGGUUUGCAGGUAAUUGCAGUACUUUGGGAGGCUGAGGCAGGAGGAUGGACAGUUCAAGCACAACCUGGGGAAUUUAGUGACUUCACGCUCCCCUGUUUCAAAAUAAAAAAAGGUUGGGCGUGUGGCGGGUUAAAGUCCCCAGGUUGAUCCCUAGUACAACAACAAUAACAAAAGCUAAGUGAGUUUAGCAAGCACAGGUUAUAAACCCCCCACCAUAAUCAGCUGUUCCUUUGUACUAACAAUGAACCAUUGAAAUUAUAAAAACAGUUCCAUUUUUAAAUACAAUUUUUAGCAUACUGAAUACUUCGAAGUAGAUUCUAUGGACUAUGCCUGAGAUCUAUACACAGAAAACUGUAAAAUACCACUGAAAAGCAUCCUAAGACUUAGUCUCACCUUCUCCCUGGCUACUUGGCACAAGCACUUGUCUCCAAAGUUACGGGUUGAAUACAGUUUCAAUCAGAACCAUAGCUAAACUUGGUUUAUAUAUUUUUAUUUUAGAAAUUGACAGGCUCACAAGAUAGCUGAGAUAAUUGUACUACUAAUUUCUAUUGAUUUAUUGAAAGGAAUAGUUAAUGCUUAACUUUUUGACCAAUUUUGCAUGCUUAUAUCUGGUAAUCUGAACAACUAUUUUGAAGACAACAAUAUGCAAUAUAACAA
ensembl:lincRNA